UUGCCUUUUGGAUGCUGUUUUUUAUGCAUACUGAACUUGAUUUUUGUUCUUUACCAAUGAAACAUGGUUGGCACUCACCCACUGGCAUCAACUACUACUUGUGUUGUUUAUGUCUGAAAUGCCUUUUGUUCAUGUUAGCCUUGUACCUUUGCAGGUGUCAGUGAAGAACACCAGGCAAGACAGGAGCGAGCAGCACAAGUUCAUAACGGAUUUUUAUGCCGACAACAAGGCUAUCAUCACCAAGCCAGCGCGCCAUGAGGCCCUGUGGGGCUUCAUGGCGCGCUGGAGAAGCUUGUCGCGGACCCAGCUCGCCUGAUGAACCGAGGUGUCGGUGAAAAACACCAGGCAAGACAGGACCGAACAGCAUAGAUUUAUGCCGACAACAAGGCUAUCAUCGCCAAGCCAGCGCGCCGUGAGGCCCUGUGGGGCUUCAUGGCGCGCUGGAGAAGCUUGCCGCGGACCCAGCUCGACUGAUGAACCGAGGUGUCAGUGAAAAACACCAGGCAAGACAGGAGCGAGCAGCACAAGUUCAUAACAGAUUGUUAUGCCGACAACAAGGCUAUCAUCGCCAAGCCAGCGCGCCAUGAGGCCCUGUGGGGCUUCAUGGCGCGCUGGAGAAGCUUGCCGCUGACCCAGCUCGCCUGAUGAACCGAGGUGUCAGUGAAGAACACCAGGCAAGACAGGAGUGAGCAGCACAAGUUCAUAACAGAUUUUUAUGCCGACAACAAGGCUAUCAUCGCCAAGCCAGCGCGCCAUGAGGCCCUGUGGGGCUUCAUGGCGCGCUGGAGAAGCUUGCCGCGGACCCAGCUUGCCUGAUGAACCAAGCAAUUCCUGGCCCAUACAAGCAGGAUGGAGCUCAGCGGCAGUGCUCUUGUUGAAACGAUGAGGCCGCUCCGACUAGAAGCUGUGCUUCAAGCCAUGGAUUCCGAUUUAAGCUUGACACUCAAGUGCCUCCCCCAUGACACUCAAGUGCCUGAGGAGCAAGUGCCUCCCCCAUGGACAUUCCUAUUAUGCGUGUUUAUAAAAAUCAGUUUAAUCUUUUCCCCCUUUUUUUAGUAAAUAACACUGAAUGAAACAUGGACACGGCAUGAACAUUGCUGCCGAAAGUGAAGACAGCAGGAUGUCUUAUGUAACCAUGCAACAGACAUGUUUGUGUAAACAGUGCAGUCUUGUCUCCCCCAUUUACAGAUAGUAUAAAGCACUGCUGGAAACAAUAAAUCUCUUUUUGAUGCAUAAACAGCGAUUGCAUGAGCACAAUCAAGCAUGUUGAUUGUGCUAAAAUCUGCACACUGUGGCCAUCUUUUUUGUGGCAGUGUUCUCUUUAUUUCAAUACUGCCAUUGUCAUACAAAAGCGUGGCAUGAAUUUCCAGAUUGUGAACCAAGUGCCGUUAUAUAACAGGAAAAAGAGCAGGGGUUGCACAUAAUUUAUUUAAAUUUUCAUUUUUAAGGUUGAUUGUGGUUCUCUUACCUAGGGCUGCACCAUGAAAUAAUGUUGCAGUCUUGCAUGGCAUUUAAUCAGAGGCUGUUUGA
rnacentral:lncRNA from 1 species